rnacentral:rRNA from 1 species
AGAGUUUGAUCAUGGCUCAGAUUGAACGCUGGCGGCAUGCCUUACACAUGCAAGUCGAACGGCAGCGCGGACUUCGGUCUGGCGGCGAGUGGCGAACGGGUGAGUAAUAUAUCGGAACGUGCCCUGGAGUGGGGGAUAACGCAGCGAAAGUUGCGCUAAUACCGCAUACGAUCUAUGGAUGAAAGUGGGGGAUCGCAAGACCUCAUGCUCCUGGAGCGGCCGAUAUCUGAUUAGCUAGUUGGUAGGGUAAAAGCCUACCAAGGCGACGAUCAGUAGCUGGUCUGAGAGGACGACCAGCCACACUGGGACUGAGACACGGCCCAGACUCCUACGGGAGGCAGCAGUGGGGAAUUUUGGACAAUGGGGGCAACCCUGAUCCAGCAAUGCCGCGUGUGUGAAGAAGGCCUUCGGGUUGUAAAGCACUUUUGUCAGGAAAGAAAUCCCCUGGGUUAAUACCUCGGGGGGAUGACGGUACCUGAAGAAUAAGCACCGGCUAACUACGUGCCAGCAGCCGCGGUAAUACGUAGGGUGCAAGCGUUAAUCGGAAUUACUGGGCGUAAAGCGUGCGCAGGCGGUUGUGCAAGACAGAUGUGAAAUCCCCGGGCUCAACCUGGGAAUUGCAUUUGUGACUGCACGGCUAGAGUGUGUCAGAGGGGGGUAGAAUUCCACGUGUAGCAGUGAAAUGCGUAGAUAUGUGGAGGAAUACCGAUGGCGAAGGCAGCCCCCUGGGAUAACACUGACGCUCAUGCACGAAAGCGUGGGGGAGCAAACAGGAUUAGAUACCCUGGUAGUCCACGCCC